UCAGUUCUACUGUGCCUUGAGAGGGAGUC
rnacentral:piRNA from 1 species